rnacentral:rRNA from 1 species
GUGGGGAAUAUUGGACAAUGGGGGGAACCCUGAUCCAGCCAUGCCGCGUGUGUGAAGAAGGCCUUUUGGUUGUAAAGCACUUUAAGCGAGGAGGAGGCUACCGAGAUUAAUACUCUUGGAUAGUGGACGUUACUCGCAGAAUAAGCACCGGUUAACUCUGUGCCAGCAGCCGCGGUAAUACAGAGGGUGCAAGCGUUAAUCGGAUUUACUGGGCGUAAAGCGCGCGUAGGUGGCCAAUUAAGUCAAAUGUGAAAUCCCCGAGCUUAACUUGGGAAUUGCAUUCGAUACUGGUUGGCUAGAGUAUGGGAGAGGAUGGUAGAAUUCCAGGUGUAGCGGUGAAAUGCGUAGAGAUCUGGAGGAAUACCGAUGGCGAAGGCAGCCAUCUGGCCUAAUACUGACACUGAGGUGCGAAAGCAUGGGGAGCAAACAGGAUUAGAUACCCUUGUAGUCC